AUUGAACGCUGGCGGAAUGCUUUACACAUGCAAGUCGAACGGUAGAGGGGGCAACCCCUCGAGAGUGGCGAACGGGUGAGUAAUAUAUCGGAACGUGCCCAGUCGUGGGGGAUAACGUAGCGAAAGUUACGCUAAUACCGCAUACGAUCCAAGGAUGAAAGCGGGGGAUCGCAAGACCUCGCGCGAAUGGAGCGGCCGAUAUCAGAUUAGGUAGUUGGUGGGGUAAAGGCUCACCAAGCCAACGAUCUGUAGCUGGUCUGAGAGGACGACCAGCCACACUGGAACUGAGACACGGUCCAGACUCCUACGGGAGGCAGCAGUGGGGAAUUUUGGACAAUGGACGCAAGUCUGAUCCAGCCAUUCCGCGUGCAGGAUGAAGGCCCUCGGGUUGUAAACUGCUUUUGUACGGAACGAAAAGGUCUCUCUUAAUACGGGGGACUCAUGACGGUACCGUAAGAAUAAGCACCGGCUAACUACGUGCCAGCCGCCGCCGUAAUAC
rnacentral:rRNA from 1 species